CUGAUACCCCCACCCUCAUCUACCUGACAGAUGAACAGUUCCUGCUGCAGCGACUGGCAGAUGGAGCCAUUGACCUCUACGCCAUGGUGGUGGUUCUCUCCAGAGCCUCAAGAUCCCUGAGUGAGGGCUACCCGACAGCACAGCAUGAGAAAAUGCUCUGUGAUAGUUGGUGCAUUGAGGCUGCAACACGGAUUCGAGAAAACAUGGCCAGCCUUCAGUCCAACCCUCAGCAGCAGGAGCUCUUUCGUAACUUCAGAAGUAUCUCCAAGGCCAUGGUGGAGAAUGGUGGCCUGGUCACCAGUAACCCCCUUAGAGUCUGAAGACUCCUAAUCAGGCCCUAGCACAGUCGUGUGCCUUCUUCUAUGCCAAACACAGGCCCCCUUCAUGGGGGCACUGGAGUACUUACUGCCUUAAGAACAAUAAAUUUUCUACCAAGUCCCUCCUCUCCACUGCCUGCCUCCCAAAGAAAGGACCCAGAGGCUUGGGGAGUUGCCUCUAUUUGCUUUAUUUGGUGUUUUAUACAAGUGACUAAAAUAAAUAGAGUAACAAAGGCAGCUACACAGUCCCCAACACACCAUCAGCCUCCUUGGACUGCUGUCUAGGGUACCCAGCCCAACCCUUCCUCUUCCCAGGGUACCACUGACCACCACCCACCCUGGCCAUGAAGCUGACUAACAACUGGAGGUGGUGGUCAUAUUCUGGGCUUAGAAGGGACCUAGGAAAGUGUAUAUGAAGGGACUCUCCAUAUAAAAGAAGAACUGUCUAUUUAAAAAAAUACUCCCCCAAAUAUAAGAAAGUCUAUUUUAACCCCCCAAAAAGCUUAUAAAAAAUAAAGCUAAAAAUAACCAAAGGUCCCCAUCUACCCCUGAGGAAGGGGAAGGACCAGGCACUGCUGGUGAGAGUCACAGUGGCAAAAAACGUUUUGGUAGGCACCAGCCACCAGGCUGAGCCCAGGCACUAAGAAGAGCACCAAGUUGAAACUUACCAGGCCAAGGGCACAGACCCAAUGUGGCCUCAAGAUGGGUCCUACAUAACAUCUACAAAAAACUCACUGGGGUUGCCCAUGGCCAUGUGGAAGCUCUGACGGCUAGCUGUCAGUUCUGGGGGCACAGAGCCCAGGUCUCUGACUGGAGGGGCACCAGGGGGCUGUACUGCUGUCGAGACAGGGGGUGGGGGUGGAGGCAUCAUGACUACCAUCAUGGGGUUAUAGGGGAGAGCCAUGCCAGGUG
rnacentral:lncRNA from 1 species